GACGAACGCUGGCGGCGUGCUUAACACAUGCAAGUCGAACGGAAAGGCCCUGCUUGCAGGGUACUCGAGUGGCGAACGGGUGUGUAACACGUGUGUGAUCUGCCCUUCACUUCGUGUUAAGCCUUGGAAACUGGUUCUAAUACCGGAUAGGAGCCAUUUUUAGUGUGAUGGUUGGAUAGUUUUUUCGGUGUAGGAUGAGCUCGCGGCCUAUCAGCUUGUUGGUGGGGUAAUGGCCUACCAAGGCGGCGACGGGUAGCCGGCCUGAGAGGGUGGACGGGCAAAAUGGGAAGGAGAAAAGGGCCAGACACGGAAGGGAGGAAGAAGGGGGGAAAAAUGAAAAAAGGGGGGAAGCCAGAAGCAGAGAAGGCGAGGGGGGGAAGAAGGGCUUAGGGUUGUAAAAUCAUUUCGCUAGGGACGAAGCUUAUAGUGACGGUACCUAGAUAAGAAGCACCGGCUAACUACGUG
rnacentral:rRNA from 1 species